rnacentral:rRNA from 1 species
GACAGAGGUUGCAAACGUUGUUCGGAAUUACUGGGCAUAAAGAGCACGUAGGUGGUCCACUAAGUCAGGUGUGAAAUCCCCCGGCUCAACCGGGGAAUAGCGCCUGAUACUGGUGGGCUUGAGGUCGGUAGGGGUGAGCGGAACUCCAGGUGGAGCGGUGAAAUGCGUAGAUAUCUGGAGGAACACCGGUGGCGAAGGCGGCUCACUGGACCGAAUCUGACACUGAGGUGCGAAAGCUAGGGUAGCAAACGGG